ACGGAGGGCGCCAGCGUUGCUCGGAAUUACUGGGCGUAAAGGGCUUGUAGGCGGUCUGAUAAGUCCUGUGUGAAAUCCCCUGGCUUAACCAGGGAACUGCGCCGGAUACUGUCGGACUAGAGGCCGGGAGAGGGAAGCGGAAUUCCCAGUGUAGCGGUGAAAUGCGUAGAUAUUGGGAGGAACACCGGUGGCGUAGGCGGCUUCCUGGACCGGUUCUGACGCUGAAAAGCGAAAGCUAGGGUAGCAAACAGGA
rnacentral:rRNA from 1 species